GAGACAGCGAGGCCUUUGCUUGAUUCGAGUUAGAAGUUCUUGGAUCCUGAAGAUUUAGAAUUUUCACAGAUCUUUCAAUAGGCAAAGUUUUCACAGUGGAUGAUUAUUUUCCUUAAGAGAGGCAGUACCUAUCCACAAGCUGCUGCUUGAAGAGCAAAGCCGGAUAUUUUGCUUCGAUUUGGUGCAACCCACUAGCUCCAUCCACUGAUUGAACACUGAAAUAAGUAAGUCCACUAUUUGAAGUUUGAUUGGCUUGAAAAAUCCUCUCGCAGGAAAAUCUCCGUCUAUGUUGGGCUGAGAUCGUCGCCCCGGUGAUUUUAAAUGAGCGUUGCAGGAGAACUGACAACGUGGACAGGUACUAGAAAAUUGGAUGCGUCUCAUAUAGAGUUACAAGGUGCAGAUUAUGAGCUACUGGAGUACCACUACGGCAUAAGAAGCUUAAAGAAACUCAAGAGAGGUGCUACAGACCUCGGUCGCUGAGUU